UACGAAGGGUGCAAGCGUUAAUCGGAAUUACUGGGCGUAAAGCGCGCGUAGGUGGUUCGUUUAAGUUGGAUGUGAAAGCCCCGGGCUCAACCUGGGAACUGCAUCCAAAACUGGCGAGCUAGAGUACGGUAGAGGGUGGUGGAAUUUCCUGUGUAGCGGUGAAAUGCGUAGAUAUAAGGAAGGAACACCAGUGGCGAAGGCGACCACCUGGACUGAUACUGACACUGAGGUGCGAAAGCGUGGGGAGCAA
rnacentral:rRNA from 1 species